rnacentral:lncRNA from 1 species
UAAUUGCCUUAAAUGGGCAGUUUUCUGUACAGAAGGCGCAGUUUCCUACCAUUUCUUUUCUGUAGGGUAGAAUAACAUAAGCUAUAUAUUGAUCUCUGACCAGAAUUCAUCUAUGCUGCAGAAGACUUUUUUCUAUUAAUAUGGUAGAAUACUUCUGUUAGAGAUCACCUGGAAGAUCACUGAACAUCAAUCACUGCUUAAUUUAAUUUUGAUUGUGUUUAAUCAGACUGUUAUACCCAGUGUCACAUUUAAAUAGUGAAAAAUUAGGAUUCUGAAAGGCCAUGCAACUCAUGUAAAUUUACACUAUUGUUUGAAAGAAAAGUUCUAUGGCUAGAAUCCAACAGGGCUCUACCAUAAUGGAAUUUCUUUCACUAGCAGAACUGAGGGUGGGCAGUCUCCCCUUACAACCCCAUCUGUCCUCCAAACCAGCUCUGGAUAGCUGACAGGAUUUUGGGCAGAAUAGAGAACUAGAAGGGGAAAGGGGGAUUGAGGGAAGAAAUUCUCAUUGUACUAGUGGAUGAGUAGUAAUGUGAUGUUAAAUAUAGAACAUGCAUUGUAGGUAAGGAGCAUGAUAUGUAUUCAGUAGUGACUUCCAUUUUCUAUUUGUACCCCACUUACAGAGAUUAAUGGGGAGGGGAUUUUGAAUUAGAUGGCACAACUUUCAACCUGGAUUAUGCCUAUUUGGGUUCCAGUAUAGUGAGACAACAUACAGCAAAGAUAUAACUGCACCACACUAAUUUUUUUUCCGUAUUCUUCUGCAAUGUCAAACCUCAUGCCAUAUGCAGAAACCUCUGUGACAGGCUCCAGCCACAGGCAGUAUGCCUAGGUUGCUAGGAAACAAUGGUGUAGAUGCUCAACCUAGCUCCGAAGUUAUCUCAGCACUGCUGUUUGAGAAGGUGAUAUCAUGACUAACAUGCUGCUGAUCGUCUCACCAGAAGAAGGUUUUGGGAAACACAGCAAACACUGUGGGAGGCUCCUGCAUCUGAGCUCCAUAUGAUGGACAGGAGUGACGUAGUGACCUGGGCAUUCUGCCACACGAUUUUGGAGAUCAUUUUAAUUGAGGACUUCAGCUUUGGAGAAGCAAGGCCGGUGUCAGCAGCCAGACAAACUAGGCUGCGUUCCAAGAUACUUGGCCUCUGGGGCAGAAAGCACAGGGCUACCAGUCCAUUAUUUUUGUCACAAAAGAUGGCCUUCAGAUCAGAGGAAAAAUUGAUCGAGACAGUCCCAGCUUUUAGUGACAGUCAGUGAGGAUUCAACAGUCCUGCAAAAACAAGGAUUUUUAGAUUCUUUCUUGGUAAAAGCAUUCAAACAGGAAAAAUGAAAAACUGUUUUCCAACCAAUACUUAUUUUAAGAUUGUCUCUGUCCUGGAGCCAAACAGACAAGAACAUCUUUGGAUUUAAAAGAUCUGGCACUGAAAUCAUACCUUCAAAUACUUGCUUGCUUGCCAUUGAUUCCUAGACAUGAAUGAUUUCUUAAAAUAUAUAAUAAAGAAGAAGAAAAAAAUGAGAGUUGUGCA